rnacentral:snoRNA from 12 species
UUUGUCUGUGAUGUUUUCCCACUUGUAUUUGAGUUUCAUUGACCUUGAAAACAUUGUACAUGCACUACCAUCUGAGACAAG